GGGAUGGUGGCAGAAUGACCAUGCACUUGAUUGUCGAUCAAGAGGACGCGGGUUUGAUUCCCGUCCAUCCCGCCA
rnacentral:tRNA from 1 species